GUGUGUGUGUGUGUGUGUGUGUGUGUGUGUGUGUGUGUGUGUGUGUGUGUGUGUGUGUGCGCUUGAACUGCUGACACACUACUCACAUUUCCCAGGGAAACCAACAAGGAAACUCUCGCACUGCACAGCACACAUGAUGCACCACCGUAUUUCAUUUGAGAUCCUUUUUCUUUUUUUUUUUUUACAAAUUGCUUGUGGCUAACAUAAGUAUGGUAGGCAUGACUAAUAACAGUUAUCUUUCUCAGUGUCUGCAGAAAACACCUGACCAACCUCUUCAUUGGGAAUCAAUGUAUUACAUUCCAAAGACUCAAGGUAGAGUGUGUGUGGUGUCGUAUUCUAGGUUGUUGAACUUAGUUGUGUGUUUGUGUGUGUGUGUGUGUGUGUGUGUGUGUGUGUGUGUGAGAUAAAAUGUCUCUCUGCUGUACAAGAUAAAUUCACAUAUUUCUACAAUCAUGGUCCAUUUCUACAGAUGUACAGUUUAAACUCUGGACACUGAUGCUUUCACCCCAAAUGAAUUAGCUAAAGGUAGAUAUGAGAGUGCAGUCAAAGUCUGGUAGCGAGGAUAGUCUGUGUGCUCUCAACAAAUGACUUGCAGUUUGUCAUUUGGUGCUUUUUACUGUACAGAUGGGUAGGUGUGUGUGUUUGUGUAUGCACUAGUUAAAUCACGGUGCUAGGAAAGACCUUGUCAGUCUUGAGUCAGAAUCAGGGACCUGUUUUGUGUGUGUGUAUGUGUGAGAAAGAGAGACUGUGUUUCUCACUCAUCGGGCUAUAGAGUGAAUCGGAUUUUUAAAUGACAUUUCACCGUCGAAAUCAUUUCAUUAACUGUGGUCACAUUUCAGAAUGAACGGUCACUGUAAUGUCAGCAUUGAUCGUUUCAGGCUUGAGGAGUGUACACAGCUGAUGAUAAUUAUAUUACAGUGAGGACAACUUGGACUGAAAACCCUUCCUCAGAUCAGAGCUGUUCGGAUCGUCUUUUUCAUUUCAUUUUCAAGUCGGUGCCAGUUUGUAGGCGGUGCUCGGUUCUGGCUUGUUGUUAUUUAUUCAGGCUUUCAAAAAAAAAAAAAAAAAAAAAAAGAUGGAAAAAACAAAAAAGAAGCUUGACAUUACCUUCACUUGUGUGUUGAGGCGAGGUUCCCUCGUCUUGUUUUUGACGUGCAUCAGUUGCACAGUAGCACAUUACCCAGAGGGCUGAAGAUGUGUGAAGCUGGUCUACUAUUUUUCAAGAGGCACGCUGGGAGAACAUGGCCCCAUGGGGAGAAAGAAGAAAGUAAUUUUAAAUUCAGCUACUUGUGUCAUUUAAGAAAAAAGAAAGGACUGACUUAAGAUCUGUGGGUGUCGGUUGAUAUCAGUAGCAUGACUCAGCACCUAAUCUGUCUUGUUAUGGUUCUGCUAUUUUGAACGUAACCCAGUGAAUUUGGCGUAGGUGGAAACAUUGUUCCUCUGAGACACCUCACAUCUAUCUCUGUCUGUGUCCUGCAUUUCCUACUGUUAUGUGCAGGACACACGUUUGUUUGCUUUAGGUCACUUAACAGCUGACCUGACUUCAAAUGACUUGACCGGUAAUUUCAUUUUAUUGCCUUGAGAAGAUAAAAUCUGGUUUUAAAUCAGUUGGUUAAAGGGCACCCUCCACCUCUUCAAGAUUACAGGGUCACACUCGGGGUCAGAGGUCAGAUCUAAAGGUUCAAAGUAGCCUAGAGGUAAAUGCUCCUUUCCUAAACACUGGGGACACUAGCAGUCAUAGUUUACUGAAGCGGGGUGGUGGACUGUUGUCUGACAUUAGACAAGAUCUGGGUGCAAAUACAUUAUUGUACUGCUGCUGGACAUAAUGUCCUGUUAUCACAUUUAACUACUAUUUGGCUCCACUUUGCACUACAUCUAAUAGUGGAUGCUUCUGGUGAGGAGUGGUUACAGACAGGGUGCAGAAAUAAUGUUUUUCGCAGGUAUUUCUUCUACAAUCUGGAGUAAAUACUACAAGGGUGGAACCUGCUGUGGCUCAGUUAUGUGAUAGUGAGAGUAAGAGAUGGCCCCUCUCUGAGACUUAAGACAAAUCAGUAUGACACAUCAAAAAAGAAAAGAAGAAAUCAAAACAGAGGUUGUAAAUGAUGACUAGAGAUGCCAUUACGUGCUGUAAAUGUCCAUCAUUCCUUGUUUUCUUUCUUGCAUUUCUUUUCUUUGAUUAUGAUUAUUAAGAUGUAAGAAUACUGUAGUAUCAUAAGUGAAUCAUUCUUCCUUGCUAGGCAUAGAACUUGCUUGUGACUGAUAAUGACAAUGUGUAACUUGUAAAAAAAAAAAAAAAAAAAAAAGCAAAAUAAUUAAAAAAACAUGAAAAAUGAAGAAAAUAAGUUUAAAAAAAAUCUGUUAUCAGUCAGAGGCCAAGGUAAAGGACUCUCAUUUCUUUGUGUUUUUAUUUUUUUAUUAGCAAUUUAUCACUGUGUGAUAUUUUGUACAUCAUAUUAAGCUGUAUUCAAACUAUUUCCUCUAACUACAAGGGAUAAGAGACCUGCUUUUUAUUAAUUUUGUUUUAUUAUAUAUUUUUGAACUGCAUUCUAGCUUGUAUCAAAUGACUUUCUCUUUUUGUUUACGGGUCCCCUGUUGUACGUCAUUAAGGAAGAAAAAACAAAAAAUGAAGAUUUUGUACAGUGAA